CCUACGGGAGGCAGCAGGAGGGAAUAGUGCGCAAUGGGGGAAACCCGGAAGCAGCAACGCCGCGUGGAGGAUGAAGGUGUUCGGAGGGGAAACUCCUGGUGGUAGAGAAGAAAAUGACGGUAGCUAACGAAUAAGCACCGGCUAACGCCGGGCCAGCAGCCGCGGUAAGACGGAGGGGGCAAGCGUUACUCGGAAUCACUGGGCGUAAAGAGCGCGGAGGCGGGAUAGCAAGUCAGAUGUGAAAUCCUAUGGCUUAACCAUAGAACUGCUUUUGAAACUGUUAUUCUAGAGUAUGGGAGAGGUAGGUGGAAUUCUUGGUGUAGUGGUGAAAUCCGUAGUGAUCAGGAGGAAUACUCGUUGCGAAGGCGACCUGCUAGAACAUAACUGACGCUGAUGCGCGAAAGCGUGGGGAGCAAACAGGAUUAGAUACCCGGGUAGUC
rnacentral:rRNA from 1 species